rnacentral:rRNA from 1 species
UACGAAGGGGGCUAGCGUCGCUCGGAAUCACUGGGCGUAAAGGGUGCGUAGGCGGGUCUUUAAGUCAGGGGUGAAAUCCUGGAGCUCAACUCCAGAACUGCCUUUGAUACUGAAGAUCUUGAGUUCGGGAGAGGUGAGUGGAACUGCGAGUGUAGAGGUGAAAUUCGUAGAUAUUCGCAAGAACACCAGUGGCGAAGGCGGCCCACUGGCCCGAUACUGACGCUGAGGCACGAAAGCGUGGGGAGCAAACAGG